AAUUUUUAAAUUUGUAGUUUUUUAAUGCAAAGUAUGCGUCUUCUUUUUAUUUGAAACUUUAAAAGUUGUUUGCUGUUAUUAUUGUUUUUAUGCUGUUGUCUGAAAGGUCAUUGCAUUUGCUGUAUUAAAACUGCUUAUUUCAUAUAAAAAAAAAAUUAAAUUUAAAAUAAAAAUUAGAAAAAAAGUUUGCUUUAUUAUAUAAAGGUUUUUUAUAUGUAAUUAAAUUUAUAAAACUUAAUUUAAUUUUUAAAUCGCUAGAAAUUAAUAUUUAUAACAAAACGACUUGUACUUGAGCGGAGUUGCACUACUCAAUUCGAAAAUAUAUAUAGGUUGCUCAGAAAAAUUUCGAUAUCUUUAGAAUCUUCCAACAUAAAGUUUUGAUUCUUCAGAAAAAUUUCGAUUUCUAAAAAAAUUUCUAAAAUUUUGGUUGUUCGGAAAAAUAUCUAUUUUUAGAAAUUUUUCGAAAGUAAAAUUUUGGUUGUUCUAAGAAGUUUCGAUUUUUUGAAAAUUUUCGAAAUUAAAUUUUAUUUGCACAAAAAAAAAUCCAGAAUAAAAGUUUGGGUGUUCAGAAAAAUUUCAAUUUUUAAAAAAUUUGCAAAAAUUAAAUUUUGGCCGUGCAUAAAAAUUCGAUUUUAGAAAAUCUUCAAAAAUAAAAUUUUGGGUGUUCCGAAAAAUUUCGAUUUCUAAACCAUCUUCGAAAAUA